rnacentral:lncRNA from 1 species
CCAACAUGGCAUGUGUAUACCUAUGUAUCAAACCUGCACGUUGUGCACAUGUACCCUAGAACUUAAAGUACAGUAAAAAAAGACAAUAAUAAACUAUCAAACCAUAAAAAAAAAUUUUUGAGUGAUUAUAUCAUUUUUUAUAAUUUGAAGCUGUUAAUUACAUUUCUUUAAGAGAUUACAAGCUUCACUUGAUGCUCUGAAAACUAAUAGUGGAAAUUUGGUUUCUCCUUAAACAUUAGUCUUGAAAAAUGCAGGUUUUCAUUAUCUUUUUUUUUUUAAAUUUUCAGAACAGGAAGGGAUUGUUUAGCUGAAAUGGAAGAUUUGAUAUCUGAACAAGGAGUUCUAAAUAAUUCUCUGCACCUUAAUCUGCCAAUACUCACUCUAAAACUACACAAAGGAGAUUCAAAAUAAAAAGAGGAUGAUAAACGGCAAAACCAUCUGAGGGUAUUGCAUAAUUGAAACCACAGAUUGCUGCAAAAUAGCUUGGUAGAUAUGAGUAGUUGCCCAAGUUGCAGAAGAGGAUGCUGUUGUACACAUCAUCCUUGAGAUAGGAUGUAGAAACCCAGACACAGACGGAUUGAUGAUACUCUAGAUACCGAGGCACUUCUUUAAUUUCUUCUUCUAACAACUGUGAAGUGGUCAAAAGGCAGAAAUGAGGAGGAAAGCAAAAAAGAAGAAGCCACAGGGUGUAGAUAAUCCACAAACAAGCUAAUUGGUCCCUGGGUAAUUGCUGACUCUCUUCAGCAGCCAUGCAAUGGAGAUUUCCAGGAAAAUGUAAAUACUGUAUUUAUAUCUGUUCAAAUUUUGUUUUCAAGAAUAAAAGUACUAAUCAGAUGGGUUUAAGUAUUUGAUAAGAAUCUCUAAUCUAUGGCUGUUUUCUAAAUAUUUGGACAUUGUCAUUGCUUUACCAUGCAGUUUUAUUUUUACUCAGCUGUAACUGAACACAAUUCUAACUAUAGCACUGGAAACUAGAUUGGAAACUGUAUUCUCCUCUGUGCCUUAUUUCUCUUCUCUCUUCGUAUUGUGGUUCUUACUCAGUUCUGUCAGUGACAAGCUAUAUAACCUUGUUCAAUUAUUUUACCAUCAUUAGACAAAAGGGUUUUAAUUUCCUAAAUACUAAUA